UUCCUAGCUGGUACAACUGUUUGGGAA
rnacentral:piRNA from 1 species